rnacentral:rRNA from 1 species
UACGUAGGGCGCAAGCGUUAUCCGGAAUUAUUGGGCGUAAAGAGCUCGUAGGCGGUUUGUCGCGUCUGCCGUGAAAGCCCGGAGCUCAACUCCGGAACUGCCAUUGAAACUGUUUAGCUUGAGGACGAGAGAGGUGAGUGGAAUUCCCAGUGUAGAGGUGAAAUUCGUAGAUAUUGGGAAGAACACCGGUGGCGAAGGCGGCUCACUGGCUCGUUUCUGACGCUCAGGCGCGACAGCGUGGGGAUCAAACAGG